CCUACGGGAGGCAGCAGUGAGGAAUAUUGGUCAAUGGUCGCGAGCCUGAACCAGCCAAGUAGCGUGAAGGAUGACUGCCCUACGGGUUGUAAACUUCUUUUAUAAAGGAAUAAAGUGAGGCACGUGUGCCUUUUUGUAUGUACUUUAUGAAUAAGGAUCGGCUAACUCCGUGCCAGCAGCCGCGGUAAUACGGAGGAUCCGAGCGUUAUCCGGAUUUAUUGGGUUUAAAGGGAGCGGAGAUGGGUUGUUAAGUCAGUUGGGAAAGUCUGCGGCUCAACCGUAAGAUUGCAAUUGAUACUGGCAGUCUUGAGUAGAGUAGAGGUAGGCGGAAUGCGUGGUGUAGCGGUGAAAUGCUUAGAUAUCGCGAAGAACUUCGAUUGCGAAGGCAGCAUGCU
rnacentral:rRNA from 1 species